UACGUAGGGUGCGAGCGUUAAUCGGAAUUACUGGGCGUAAAGCGUGCGCAGGCGGUUAUAUAAGACGGAUGUGAAAUCCCCGGGCUCAACCUGGGACCUGCAUUUGUGACUGUAUAGCUAGAGUACGGUAGAGGGGGAUGGAAUUCCGCGUGUAGCAGUGAAAUGCGUAGAUAUGCGGAGGGACACCGAUGGCGAAGGCAAUCCCCUGGACCUGUACUGACGCUCAUGCACGAAAGCGUGGGGAGCAAACAGG
rnacentral:rRNA from 1 species